AGUGAACGCUGGCGGUAGGCCUAACACAUGCAAGUCGAACGGCAGCACAGUAAGAGCUUGCUCUUACGGGUGGCGAGUGGCGGACGGGGGAGGAAUACAUCGGAAUCUACUUUUUCGUGGGGGAUAACGUAGGGAAACUUACGCUAAUACCGCAUACGACCUACGGGUGAAAGCAGGGGAUCUUCGGACCUUGCGCGAGUGAAUGAGCCGAUGUCGGAUUAGCUAGUUGGCGGGGUAAAGGCCCACCAAGGCGACGAUCCGUAGCUGGUCUGAGAGGAUGAUCAGCCACACUGGAACUGUGACACGGUCCAGACUCCUACGGGAGGCAGCAGUGGAGAAUAUUGGACAAUGGGCGCAAGCCUGAUCCAGCCAUACCGCGUGGGUGAAGAAGGCCUUCGGGUUGUAAAGCCCUUUUGUUGGGAAAGAAAAGCAGCAGGUUAAUACCCCGCUGUUCUGACGGUACCCAAAGAAUAAGCACCGGCUAACUUCGUG
rnacentral:rRNA from 1 species